AGUGAACGCUGGCGGUAGGCCUAACACAUGCAAGUCGAACGGCAGCACAGUAAGAGCUUGCCCUUACGGGUGGCGAGUGGCGGACGGGUGAGGAAUACAUCGGAAUCUACUUUUUCGUGGGGGAUAACGUAGGGAAACUUACGCUAAUACCGCAUACGACCUACGGGUGAAAGCAGGGGAUCUUCGGACCUUGCGCGAUUGAAUGAGCCGAUGUCGGAUUAGCUAGUUGGCGGGGUAAAGGCCCACCAAGGCGACGAUCCGUAGCUGGUCUGAGAGGAUGAUCAGCCACACUGGAACUGAGACACGGUCCAGACUCCUACGGGAGGCAGCAGUGGGGAAUAUUGGACAAUGGGCGCGAGCCUGAUCCAGCCAUACCGCGUGGGUGAAGAAGGCCUUCGGGUUGUAAAGCCCUUUUGUUGGGAAAGAAAAGCAGCAGGUUAAUACCCCGCUGUUCUGACGGUACCCAAAGAAUAAGCACCGGCUAACUUCGUG
rnacentral:rRNA from 1 species